GACGAACGCUGGCGGCGUGCUUAACACAUGCAAGUCGAACGAUGAACCCGGAGCUUGCUCUGGGGGAUUAGUGGCGAACGGGUGAGUAACACGUGAGUAACCUGCCCUGGACUCUGGGAUAAGCGUUGGAAACGACGUCUAAUACCGGAUAGGACCUUGGAUCGCAUGAUCUGGGGUGGAAAGUUUUUUCGGUCUGGGAUGGACUCGCGGCCUAUCAGCUUGUUGGUGAGGUAAUGGCGCACCAAGGCGUCGACGGGUAGCCGGCCUGAGAGGGUGACCGGCCACACUGGGACUGAGACACGGCCCAGACUCCUACGGGAGGCAGCAGUGGGGAAUAUUGCACAAUGGGCGAAAGCCUGAUGCAGCAACGCCGCGUGCGGGAUGACGGCCAUCGGGUUGUAAGCCGCUUUUAGUAGGGGAGAAGGGCUUCGGCUUGACGGUACCUGCAGAAAAAGGACCGGCUAACUACGUG
rnacentral:rRNA from 1 species